rnacentral:rRNA from 1 species
UACAGAGGGGCAAGCGUUGUUCGGAAUUACUGGCGUAAAGGGCGCGUAGGCGGCCUUCUAAGUCGAACGUGAAAUCCCCGGGCUCAACCCGGAAGUGCACUCGAUACUGCGUGGCUUGAGUACUGGAGAGGUUGGUGGAAUUCUCGGUGUAGGAGGUGAAAUUCGUAGAUAUCGAGAGGAACACCGGUGGCGAAGGCGGCCAACUGGACAGAUACUGACGCUGAGACACGAAAGCGUGGGGGAGCAAACAG